GGGGGCGUAGCUCAGCUGGGAGAGCACCUGCUUUGCAAGCAGGGGGUCGUCGGUUCGAUCCCGAUCGCCUCCA
rnacentral:tRNA from 2 species